GAUGAACGCUGGCGGCGUGCUUAACACAUGCAAGUCGAACGAACCUUCGGGUUAGUUGCGGACGGGUGAGUAACGCGUGGGAAUCUGCCCUCAGGAGGGGGAUAACGGCUGGAAACGGCCGCUAAUACCNCAUAUGCCGCGAGGUGAAAUGAAUUUCGCCUGAGGAUGAGCCCGCGUCUGAUUAGCUAGUUGGUGGGGUAAAGGCCUACCAAGGCGACGAUCAGUAGCUGGUCUGAGAGGAUGAUCAGCCACACUGGGACUGAAACACGGCCCAGACUCCUACGGGAGGCAGCAGUGGGGAAUUUUCCGCAAUGGGCGAAAGCCUGACGGAGCAACGCCGCGUGNAGGAUGAAGCC
rnacentral:rRNA from 1 species